UUGCUGAGGAGUCGUUGGUUUUAUUUUUAUUUUUAUGUUUGUAUCGGUGUAAAUACAGGGCAUUCAGCCACAAGCAUUGCAAGUAAAGCCUGAAAACAGCAGCUAUUUCAAUAGGAGGUUUGAAAUAAUAUGGUUCUUAUAUUGCCAUGGAGACAACUGGUCCUCAUGUUCAGUGUGACUGAAUGCAUGUUUUAAAAAGCUUGAAAUACAGAAAGAUGUGAUACAGACGUCUCAUCUGUCCUUUGCUUCCUCCUUCUUGUCUUUCUCUGGUAGAAGUACAGUUACAACACGUGUUUGAUCUAGCAUGACAGAGGAGAUUGGGUACAAAACAGAUGCAUAGCUAUACAUGUUUGGAUUCUGUUGCAUUAUUUCCCACCAUGUGGGACCCCAAGUUAGGUAACCAAAGACUAAUAAGUUGGAAUGGAAAGAUUACCAAACCCAAGCAGAGCACAUGAAGCAUAUUACUACUGGAUUUCAUUGCCCACAUUUAGUGAGAAGGAAAUUACAGCAAAAGCAAGCGUUUCUGAAAACAGAAAGUAUCAUGUUGGAAGUAUAUACAACACUGGGAGAGAACUGCCCUUUGAAUAGAAAGCACAAUUCUUCCUCACUGAGGGGGCAUUAACUUAAUGUCUGUGUGAACAACAAACUUGGUAGCUGAUGAAAACUAUUAUGACCGUUUUGCGCUUUCCGUAGGUUUUUAAUUACAGCCUGAACUGAGUAGGAAUUAAUUUUGAGAGAAGCAAAAAACCUUGCAAAUACCUUCUCCCUUUGCACUUCCUUCCCUGGCCCAACUCCUCCCUGCCACUCACAAGUAAAGCUGGCCGAGUUAAUGCCAACGCCUUGUGACAUUUCUUGCCGAAGUUCUGACCAGUUGAUCUAACAACAGCUGCCCUUUCCCAGGCCUUUAGAGCCUGGAUUUUGAAAGGUUGAUGUAUGCAGAUGCAAGUUCUAAAGAACAACCACCUAAGAACUUGUGAAUUAUUUCCACUUAAAGAAAGCCAAGAUGUUUAAAAGUGACUAGCAGUUUUGUGGGCAUCUGUUGUUAGCUCUUUAAAGCGACCAGAAGUUGCUUCAUAGAAAGGCCCCUUCACAGCAUAUCCACCACCAAAAAGGAACUUCUGCUAACAUCCCCCCUGGCUGAGGUACGUUUUGUCAGAGGAGCUAGGAGGAUCUAACUGUGAAACCAUGACUCUCCCAGAUUGGCUGUAACAGGUUUAUCUAUGCCUUUAACAGAAGCUUGAGUUUCAUUUUCUCCCCUUGUUUCAUGGCACAGCACUUUUAAGUAAAUACUUGUUUGAAGAAGCAGACGGUGAAAGCAAUUGGCUCUCUUUCCAUAACUACACAUACCAGACAGCUCUGGGGUUUUCACAGAAAGCCACUGCGUAUGCUACUUAAGAGAUAAAAUAAGGGACUUGUCAAAUGCAAUACAUGCCUGAAUCACACAGAGGAUUUAAAUGUAUGUGUGCAGGGGCAGGAGACAGUGAGAGGAAGGUACAGGACAAUCUUGCUGCUGCCCUGGCAUAAGACUCCUUCGGUAACAGGGGCUCAGCUUCCAGGAGAAGCCUGUUAAGAAGUCUGAAUGAAUAUUCUGGUUAGUUCUUGUGUAACUACCAAGAAAGCAGGACCCUGCCAGUACUUCAAAUACUCUAAGACCUGCCCAGGACACAUAAAACAGGGUAAAAUGUUAGGAAGGUUGUAUGGUAAAAUAUGGGAUAGGCAUUACAAUCCCCUGCCAAGUUUAAUAUGAAAACAGAAAGGCACCUACAGAGGACCGUGUGGAAGACAGGUAGACAGAAAAAUCUUGGAAACUGUGCCUACAGCCUUUUGUGCAAGGUAGAAAUGGAAGAUAAAAGAAUGGAUCAAGAUAGAAAAUGCACAGAUGAGAAAUAUGGGAAAAGAGGUAAAUGCUUCUAACCAUGUUAAAGACAAGGUCCUAAUGAAGUUUGGGUUAGGCGAGUUGGGAAGUUAAGAGGGGGCUCUCAAAGUAGAGGUGGAAAAACAAUGUACAAUGUUACGACUCAUUUGCAAGUGAGCAAGGUGGUGGGAAAUGGGUAUUUAUAGAAAAAUCAAAGAUAACUGGGAAAUACUGAAUAGUAAACAUAAUUCAAAAGGGUUCAGUGAUGCUUUGCUGAGGACAGCAUUCAGUAAUGAGGUUCACAGGUAUGGGAAACAGGAGAGAAACUAGGAUUUCCAGAGGUUCCCAAAUGAAGACAGAAAUGGCCUUCACUUUGCAAUUCAAAGUCUGAAAUCAGGUUGUUAAGAUCCAUGGAAGAGACAAAUUAGGUGAAGUUCCUAAACACGUUAAUUAUAAUUUAUUAUAUUCUAUUCCCUAUCUAAUAAACCCAAGGUAUUUUAUUCCUCUAAAGCCUUUUUGUUUUAUGUGCUGAGGAAUUCAAAAAUAGUACUACUAAAAAUUUAACCACCAAUAAAUUUAAAUAAUAUGCCAAAAAAAUCACACACAAAAAAACAAUAGUGAAUGAAAAAGCAUCAGGUUUGAGUUUCACUUGCUUUAAGAGGAAUUUUCAUAGUGGUCAUGAAUAAAGCUUUAAUUUUGAUUCAUGCCAAUAAAACCUUUAUGAUUUUACAAAGUUUGUUACAUUUACUUAUUUACCUACUGAAGCCGAUAGCAAACCUCCACUAAUUUCGAUAUGAAACAUAUGAAUAUGCUGAUGCGCAUACGAAACAUAUAACCAUAUGCUGAUGCAUUAUAUUCCCAUGCCUAUGUUGUAAUGACAUUGCUACAUUUUCAGAAGUCUAUUAUCACGACUCCAUCACUUCUAUUACUUCCAUCUUUCAGUUCAUUUUAUUCCUCCAUUUCACUGUGGAGCCUGGUUUACUUUUUUUUUUUUUUUUUUUUUUUUUUAAUUCCUCCCUCCUGUUCAUGACCUGUGUUUUUUCAGCUCCCUCUCUUUGCCAUCUUCUCAGAUGGAGAUCCUCUACCCUAUCUUAUUUUCCCAUGCCUACAUUCUUAAACCACUGCAGAUCUGUGGGUAUGCCCUUAUCACUUCAGUUUCCAAGCCUUCAUUUCCAGGGUUCUGUGACUGAGUCUUGAAACUCCCCCAGCAGCUUUGAACACCACAUAUGCAUUACAUUUUACAAAAUACCAAAAUCCCAAGGCUGAAAAUACUGCCUCUAAGUCUAAAUACAAUAAGUUGAGGAAAAAAAAAAAAAAAAUGCAAUUUUGCUUUUUAUGAAAGGCAAGCCAAGGUCAGGCAAUCAGAUAAAAACACAGCCACGACACCAGAAGCUUAAUAAAUUCUGUAUGUCUUUGCUAGAACCUUUCCCAUCUUUGCUAACUGCCAAGAUACUCAUCUGCAGCUAGAAGCAUUCCCAUCUCCAAUCAGUUUACAUCUGUUUAGUAGCAAAUAUACUUCUGCAGUCUGGAUACAAUAAUCUGUUUCCUGCAGACCUUCAUAACUGCUAGAGAGGAGCCGGAACCUAACCUAAAAAAAAAAAAAA